rnacentral:tRNA from 1 species
GCGCCCGUAGCUCAACUGGAUAGAGCAGCGGACUUCUAAUCCGCAGGUUGCAGGUUCGAGUCCUGCCGGGCGCGCCC